AUGAUUAUGGAGGAUUGGUCGAUGAUGAUGAAGGUUAAAGGUGAGAGACUAGUUGCAGAAGAUGGUGUGGCAGUGAUGGAGUUUGCUACAGGUGAAGAAAUCACAGUCAAUGGAUCAAAUGAGUUGGUUACAAGAUGGAGGGUUGAGAUUGAUCUAUUAUCGGUUCAAGGGUUUGGUGCACCAAGGCUAUACGUGAAGCUUGAAGAGAAUUGA